rnacentral:rRNA from 1 species
GACGAACGCUGGCGGCGUGCUUAACACAUGCAAGUCGAACGGAAAGGCCCUGCUUUUGUGGGGUGCUCGAGUGGCGAACGGGUGAGUAACACGCGAGUAACCUGCCCUUGACUUUGGGAUAACUCCAGGAAACUGGGGCUAAUACCGGAUAGGAGCUCCUGCUGCAUGGGGGGGGUUGGAAAGUUUCGGCGGUUGGGGAUGGACUCGCGGCUUAUCAGCUUGUUGGUGGGGUAGUGGCUUACCAAGCCUUUGACGGGUAGCCGGCCUGAGAGGGUGACCGGCCACAUUGGGACUGAGAUACGGCCCAGACUCCUACGGGAGGCAGCAGUGGAGAAUAUUGCACAAUGGGCGGAAGCCUGAUGCAGAAACGCCGCGUGCGGGAUGACGGCCUUCGGGUUGUAAACCGCUUUCGCCUGUGACGAAGCGUGAGUGACGGUAAUAGGUAAAGAAGCACCGGCUAACUACGUG